rnacentral:snoRNA from 1 species
GGGCAUCCUUGCGGGGUCCCACAUGCCUGGCUGCACACUGCAUCUUCUCCAUAGUGCAGGCUGCCUGUUGCUUUCCUGGGCUGCCCAAGGGGACCCUGGAGACAGCC